rnacentral:misc_RNA from 1 species
UUUCCGUAGGUGAACCUGCGGAAGGAUCAUUAUUGUAUAACCGAGGUGCGAGGGCUGUCGCUGACCCGAAAGGUCGUGCACGCCCGAGUGCCCUCACACACAUCCAUCUCACCCCUAUGUGCACCACCGCGUGGGUCCCCCUUUGGCUUGUUCGGAGGGGGGCUUACGUUUUCACACAAACUUUGUAUGCAGUGUAGAAUGUAUUUUUUGUUUUUGCGAUCACGCAAUCAAUACAACUUUCAACAACGGAUCUCUUGGCUCAC